rnacentral:tRNA from 1 species
AGGGUUGUGGCUCAGUGGUAGAGCGCUUGCCUAGCAUGCCUGAGGCACUGGGUUCAAGUCCUGGCACCACAU